GUCAAUCCAAAGCAGCAGGUGUCUGAGUGAUCUAACUCAGCAGCCAGCACAGGUGAGCAACCCCAUCACAGUUCUUCCAUGUUCCACUUCCACUGGAGCAAAGCCUUCCCAUCAAGGGAGGAACAGCAAACACUCCAUACUUGCUUCUUUGCAGUCCAAGGCUUUUCCCCGCCCUUCACCCAAGAGACAGGAAAUACAAGGGCAGCAGCACAUCAGUCACACAUCAGUUCUCCAGGGAUACAAAGGGGUGACCAACUGGGUCUGAAGGAGUCACUUGUCAAGGAUCACAGCCCAUGUGUUGUCGUUUUUCUGCCAACAGAGGGCUCCACAGUUCUUGAAGAUUAUCCAAACUUUCCACUGGAUGUCAAGAUCUCUGCCCCAAACUUAGUUAUCAUUUACAGCAACAAGAGCCAGCAAGUAAAAAACUGUUAAUUUAUU